rnacentral:rRNA from 1 species
UACGUAGGGGGCAAGCGUUAUCCGGAAUCACUGGGCGUAAAGCGUGCGUAGGUGGCGCGUUAAGUGAGAUGUUAAAUCGUGUGGCUCAACCAUAUCGAUGCAUCUCAUACUGGCGUGCUAGAGGACGGCAGAGGCAAGUGGAAUUGGUAGUGUAGCAGUGAAAUGCGUAGAUAUUACCAGGAACACCAAUGGCGAAGGCAGCUUGCUGGGCCACUCCUGACACUGAGGUACGAAAGCGUGGGGAGCGAACAGG